rnacentral:rRNA from 1 species
UAAUAGAUACCCCUGGUAGUCCACGCCGUAAACGAUGAGUACUAGGUGUAGGAGGUAUCGACCCCUUCUGUGCCGCAGUUAACACAAUAAGUACUCCGCCUGGGAAGUACGAUCGCAAGAUUAAAACUCAAAGGAAUUGACGGGGGCCCGCACAAGCAGCGGAGCAUGUGGUUUAAUUCGAAGCAACGCGAAGAACCUUACCUAGACUUGACAUCUCCUGAAUUACUCGUAAUGGAGGAAGCCCUUCGGGGCAGGAAGACAGGUGGUGCAUGGUUGUCGUCAGCUCGUGUCGUGAGAUGUUAGGUUAAGUCCUGCAACGAGCGCAACCCUUAUCAUUAGUUGCUACCAUUAAGUUGAGCACUCUAGUGAGACUGCCGUGGUUAACGCGGAGGAAGGUGGGGAUGACGUCAAAUCAUCAUGCCCCUUAUGUCUAGGGCUACACACGUGCUACAAGUGGGUAAAUACAAAGAGAUGACAAUACAGUAAUGUGGAGCAAAACUAUAAAAUUACCCUCAGUUCGGAUUGUAGGCUGAAACUCCG